CCUCGUUUCUGAACGAACGUAUCUAGGAGGAAGCCUGAGGUGGUGUAUGUUUUUGCUUUUUGGUGUUGUGAGUCUGUUUUGUUAGAUGUUUAGUAUCUGUAGCUGGAACGUUAGAGGGCUUAAUGACCUGUCUAAACGUAAUGCCGUUAGGGCUGUAGUUUCGAAAUUACGCAAUGCGGUGGUCUGUCUUCAGGAGUCCAAAGUUAGUCAUGUAUCUGGGUCUU
rnacentral:lncRNA from 1 species